rnacentral:rRNA from 1 species
CCUACGGGGGGCAGCAGUAGGGAAUAUUGCUCAAUGGGGGAAACCCUGAAGCAGCAACGUCGCGUGAAGGAUGCAGGUUUUAUGAUUGUUAACUCCUUUUGUUAGAGCAGAUACUGACGGUAUCUAACGAAUAAGCACCGGCUAACUCCGUGCCCGCAGCCGCGGUAAUCCGGAGGUUGCAAGCGUUACUCGGCAUCAGUGGGCGUAAAGAGCGCGUAGGCGGGAUAGCAAGUCAGAUGUGAAAUCCUAUGGCUUAACCAUAGAACUGCAGUUGAAACUGUUAUUCUAGAGUAUGGGAGAGGUAGGUGGAAUUCUUGGGGUAGGGGUAAAAUCCGUAGAGAUCAAGAGGAAUACUCAUUGCGAAGGCGACCUGCUAGAACAUAACUGACGCUGAUGCGCGAAAGCGUGGGGAGCAAACAGGAUUAGAUACCCCUGUAGUC